UUCGAUAUUUUUCAUAUUCGCGUAAUCAAUAAUAUUCACAACGAAAUCUGGUAGAAGCGGAUUUUAGUUUGAUUUCUGGACACUUGGCGCUGCGUACGCUAUCGCUCGAUGCCUUAAAAUCUAUUUUAAUCGGCUAAUCAUCACGUUCCAUUGAAAUAAAAAUAAAACGACUUCCACUCUCAACAUGCUUUUUUAUUCAAAGAGAAUGAAAGUUGGAAUUAUUUCAGCGUUCGGAAUUGUCAAUGACUGUUGGACAAUAAAAAGUUCGACAAUAUUAGAGUCUCUGCAUCAUUUCGUGUUUUUAUUGAAACUGCUUGCCGUUCCAUCACUCGUUCGAGAAUGAGCAAAUUGAAUUUAGUCCAAUACUCACUGGAAAACGUAAAUGUCUGGUUAAAACUGCUCCGAGUGGUGAAUCAAACAAGACAAGUGAGAUACUUGAGAAACGGUCUUUCUGAAAAUGAAAAUUAAAGUUGUAUAAUUUUUCCAUCAGAAGAUUAAUUCAUGAUUGCUUUUUCAUUUCGACGAAGGUCAAGAAAUUUACAUGGGAUUCAACUCAUGUUAUGUUUUUGAAAAUUCCUUUUGCUAUUCAUUUUCGUGAUCAUGUUUCAUUAAAAAUUCUGAAAAAUAAUGUACGGAAUGAAGAGUUUUGGAUAUUGGCCUCGAUCGUUGUAAUUUUUCAUUCUUUGGGAGAUUUUUUUGAUUGUCGAAUUUAUUACAAAUUGAGUCGGUUCUCAAAAAUAAAUGAAGAUAAAACAUGUGAAGAUUAAAAUAACGAUCGAAAAGAAUGAAAAUUCAUUUGGUAGGAAUUCCAUAGUGCUGCGUCAAGGAUAAUAAAAUCGAGUUAAUUCAAUGGCCUUUCAAUGAAUUUAAAGUACAAGUUGUUUAUGGACGGAAUGUGAAAUUAAAAAAAAAUUUCUCAGGAUUAAGUGUGGUCAGUUAUAAAGUUCACUAAAAUCUUAAGACUAAAUUCAAUUUUAAAUUCUGAGUCACAGGAAGUGCAGUAGUGUCAGAAUGUCAAUCAUUUUUAUCGCGAUCAAUAACGUCAUUAUAAUUCACGAUUUGAUUACGAUUUUUCUACUUGAUUUUGAUUGUAUUUCCACUAAAAUUCUAUUGCCAAGAAUCUCGAGAAGGUUUUUACAAGAAAAUACACACAUACAACGUUUAACGUCGUCCCGGGAAUAAUUAAUUGUAAAUUUGAUUGAUUGGAGAAUGAGAUUAGGAAUGAAAAAAAAUGUUGGACCGAAGUAUUAAGUGGAAGAAACGAGAUCGAAAAUCCAGAUUGGCCUCAUGUUCCGUUGCGAUGGUUGUUACUUGUUCUAUUUUUGCCUACUGUUUUAUUCUGGGGCACCAGUCGAGUCAAAAAGUCUGGGAAAAGUGGAAGCUUCGAAAAGUAAUUUAUUAAAGUAUGGCAUCGAGGAUCAAACUAGAGGAAGAAAUCAAUCGAUCUCAUCGCAUGAGCCAAAAAUCGAAGGAGUUAUUGGAGCAAAAUCACUGAUGGAUAACCGCACAAACAUUUCUUCAACCACUCAGCUUAGUUCACGUCCUAAGAGAAAAUUUGGAAAAUUUAAUACUGGAACUCGAGCUCAUCAACUCAGUAUUCGGACCAAUAAUGAAAAAUUGCGAAUGAAACUGAGCGUUUUGAAAAAAAAUCGAUUUCGCAGAUUCUGCAACGACUCCGCUAUUAAUUGUUCUCCUCCGUUUGCCACUUAUAACGAACAAUCUCUCAGCUCCGAACACAGACAGAAACGAACAUACACCACUUUGGAAUUACAAACAAUCUUCAAUGCAACUUGUCUUCCAUGCAUCACUCAGUUUCCUUGGCAAGUUAUCGAGUGGCCAACAUCAUGGGUAUCGACGUUGCCAUCAUUUACAUCGUGGGCAAAUUUUCUGUGGUCAAAUGUGUACGGCUGAAUAUUUCAAGAAGGAAUUCUCAUUUUCGAAAUUUUUCAAUAUACUAAAUUUGUGCCUUCUGUCGAGUAUAUUAUGUCGAAUAUAUUUGAGAUGAGAUCAUCCAACCAAAUGAAUUUUUGAUGGAUGAAACAUUUCUGGAUCUAACUAUCAUCCGGUUGGAUGGAAAAUGAUUUGGUAAAAUCUACCAGGUAAUGAAAAUCGAUCAAAGACUGUCUACAGGCCUAACUCGUUGCACAUUUAUUUUUUAAUGUCAAACACAAUUCUUAUUAUUAUUAUUAUUUUUUUUUCAUUAAAACUCUUAAAAAUAAAGAACAUUCGAAAUUUUC